UACGUAGGGUGCAAGCGUUGUCCGGAAUUAUUGGGCGUAAAGAGCUCGUAGGCGGUUUGUCGCGUCUGCUGUGAAAAUCCAGGGCUUAACCCUGGACCUGCAGUGGGUACGGGCAGACUGGAGUGCGGUAGGGGAGAAUGGAAUUCCUGGUGUAGCGGUGGAAUGCGCAGAUAUCAGGAGGAACACCGAUGGCGAAGGCAGGUCUCUGGGCCACUACUGACGCUGAGAAGCGAAAGCAUGGGGAGCGAACAGG
rnacentral:rRNA from 1 species